rnacentral:tRNA from 1 species
GGCGGUGUAGCUCAGCUGGUUAGAGCACACGGCUCAUAUCCGUGUUGUCCGGGGUUCAAGUCCCUGCACCGCCA